GAUGAACGCUGGCGGCGUGCCUAAUACAUGCAAGUCGAGCGAUCGCACGCCUUCCUUUCUUCUCUGAUGUUUGCCGCGGACGUGUGACUUCCACGUGUUUCCCCUCCCUAUUAUUCUCGGAUAACUUCGGUUACCCGUACCUCAUACCGUCUACUAUUUUGAACCGCAUGCUUCAAAAGUUAUCGCCGGUCUUGCUGUCUCUUAUAGAUUUAUCCACGCUUCAUUAGCUAGUUUGUCAGGUAACGGCUUACCAAGGCAACGAUGCGUAGCUGGACUGAGAGGAUGAUCAGCCACACUGGAACUGAGACACGGACCAGACUCCUACGGGAGGCAGCAGUAGGGAAUAUUGGACAAUGGGCGAAAGCCUGACGGAGCAACGCCGCGUGAAGGAUGAAGGUCUUCGGGUCGUAAAACGCUGUUAUAAGGAAAGAAAAGAUGUGUAAGAAAAGGGGAAGAUCAUGACGGUACCGAAAGAAAAAGCAACGGCUAACUACGUG
rnacentral:rRNA from 1 species